rnacentral:rRNA from 1 species
GACGAACGCUGGCGGCGUGCUUAACACAUGCAAGUCGAGCGGAAAGGCCACUUCGGUGGUACUCGAGCGGCGAACGGGUGAGUAACACGUGAGUAAUCUGCCCCUGGCUUUGGGAUAGCCACCGGAAACGGUGAUUAAUACCGGAUACGACCACUUCUCGCAUGGGAUGGUGGUGGAAAGUUUUUUCGGCCCGGGAUGUGCUCGCGGCCUAUCAGCUUGAUGGUGAGGUAAUGGCUCACCAUGGCUUCGACGGGUAGCCGGCCUGAGAGGGUGACCGUUCACACUGGGACUUAGACACGGCCCAGACUCCUACGGGGGGCAGCAGUGGGGAAUAUUGGACAAUGGGCGGAAGCCUGAUCCAGCAACGCCGCGUGAGGGAUGACGGCCUUCGGGUUGUAAACCUCUUUCAGCAGGGACGAAGCGCAAGUGACGGUACCUGCAGAAGAAGCACCGGCCAACUACGUGCCAGCCGCCGCAGUAA